rnacentral:rRNA from 1 species
CCCGGCGACCGGCGCACGGGUGAGUAACGCGUGUGCAACCUGCCCGGCACAGUGGGAUAAUCCGGAGAAAUCCGGUCUAAUACCGCAUGACGCGGGAAAGGCGCAUGCCCUUUCCGGCCAAAGGGGGCGACUCCGGUCACGGAUGGGCAUGCGGCGCAUUAGGUAGUUGGUGGGGCAACGGCCCACCAAGCCGACGAUGCGUAGGGGUUCUGAGAGGAAGGUCCCCCACAUUGGAACUGAGACACGGUCCAAACUCCUACGGAAGGCAGCAG